rnacentral:lncRNA from 1 species
AACUCAGAAUAGUGAAGCAGAAGUAGGAUGCUCAUCCAAAUGCUUAUUAGGUCCUCUUGCUAAGACAGGUGAUCAUAAGACUCAAGCAACCAAACAUUGGUACCACUCGGCGAGAUACAAACCGCCGAUUAACAUUCCAAUUGAAGCAUGUUCCGCAAUGACCACCGCAAUGGAACUCAGUCUCGCCACGCCAGAACAUAAUUGUUUUUCUUGCUAGGCGACUACCGAUCCAGGUGUUAACAUUCUUUCCCUUUAACCUGCCAUUUAAUCAUAUAGUUUUCGCUUGUUCUAUUUCAAUAAACAUGCUAUUUGCGCACGCAUAUAUGUUGUCGGUAUUAACGUGAUGGAUUUAUAGUUUAAGAAUCAUGCUUUAUGGUCAUUGAGUAAAAGAGAAGAGAAUCAGUACAUUAUUUCAAGAUUGCUUACUAAAAGCAUCACCUUGGUUUGUUAUCGCUCUCAAAAUCAUUUUGAAUUACUCAAGUAGAAUUUGGUAGACACAUAAGAACACCUUUGCUUGCUUUCAUUAAUUUUAAAAUAAAAUUCAUAUUACAAACUUAUGAUUAACAGUUAAUAAAAUCGAUGAUAAGUUGGUAAUGAAUUAGAUAGCAAGUUGAAAUUUGGCCAAGAUAAUUAGUCACCUUUGAACAGACAAAAUACUCCAUAACCAAUCUCAAAGCUUGGAAUAAAGAUGUGCAC